rnacentral:rRNA from 1 species
UUGGGUGGCCAUCUUCUAUUGAAUCUAACUGAUCUUGGUUAUCUUGAUUUCAAAAGUUAAGCAGGGUUAGCAUUUGUUGAGAUUUGGAUGGAGCACCCCCUGGAAUGUACAGGCUUGUUGGUUAAU